UCAUCCUCAUCCUCAUCACCUGAAUCUGCAUCAGAACCUUCUUCAUCCUCAGACUCCUCACCAAGGAUAUUUUUCCUCAAUUCUUCAUAGCGCUUCUCAUUUUCAAGGAAAUUAGGAUCUGGCUUGAAAAUAUCAAGGCUGAUCUCAGGAUCUAUGUUCUCCUGGAGUGAUAUCUCAUGCGUUAACUGGUCUUCCUGCUCCACAAGGUCCAACUCUGGACGGACAGCAGGGUACCCCUGAAAUUUGGCUUUUCUAAUUGCAAAAAGGCCUUCAAUCAAAAACUGCACCCGCUUGUCAAUCUCUCCUUCAUGAAGAAUUCCACGAAAUCGCUCAAAAGCUCCAUCCAGGCCUUUUGGCGAGACAUCUUGAAGUAUGGAUCCACACUCUGUGACAAAACCAACCGCAACCUCAACGCUGUCAUCAGUGGGAUUCUCCAGCAAAACAGCAAGAAGUUCUAGAGCAAUAAUCUCAUGAGCCACUUGCUGGUUCACUAGGUGUGCUAUAAAUUUUACAGCAGCUAGCAAUUGAGGCUUGUCAUUCCGCUUAUAUGCUCUCUUGAGCUGUAAAACUAUCCUUCUCAAUAAGAGCUCACCCACCUCAGGAAAUUUAGUGUUUACAACAGCUACCAGCGCAGCAAAAACAUCUGUGAAACCGGGAGACGCCAUCUGGGACUUCAUACAUGACCGACAAAAAAGACCCCUCCCUCGAAUCAGAUUCUCAGAAAAAAGUUCUGGAAUAAUGUUCUUUAUGUUGGUGGCAUUAACCUUGUUAACAAGCCCAUUAAUACUCUUACGAAGGGCAUCCCAUGUCAACCUCUGGUACUCCACAGAGCUUUUAUCUUGAAUUUCCUUCAUCAUUCGGGCCAAUUUGAAAGGAGGUAUGUAAACACCCCCACUUCUACCCAAAUUUGAUGCAUCAGCGUUCAAAUUUCCUUCUCCAAUUGUCGUUUUGACGGGUUUUGAGUCUUCAACCAACUUUCCACGCUCGCCAUCUCCCCGCACUUCAUCUUUCUCUUUACGUCUCCCAUUUUCCCCAUCAUCCCUGUUCCUAUGCCUCCUACGCCUGUCUUCAUCAAUUCUAUCCCUCUCUCGUUCUGAUUUCCAUUGUAAGUCCCUACUUCUAUCCUCAGCUUCUCCCCUUAUAUGUACAUUUUCAUGCCGACGGUUUCUUUCUCUUUCAUGCCUGUCUCUCCUCUCCCGGUAAUCACCUUCAUCAGAACUCUGAUUAUACUCUUUAACCCUAUCCCUACGGUCAAUAUUUCUCUCUCUCUCUCGUUCAUCCCUUUCUCUCUCUACUAAUUCUCCUUCCUCAUCAGAACUUACCCUCGAUGACCUCCUUUCUCGAACCUCUCUUUCCCUCUUUUCCUCUCGAUCUCUACCUUCCUGCUCACCAAUUCUUCCUCCAUCCUUAUCAUUAUCGUCACCGUGUCUACUGUCGCUUCUUCUCUCACGACGACGAUACCUACUCCUUUCAUCGUCACUGGAAUCACUGUAUUUUCUAGCCAUUACCUAUGUUUAGCUACAGAGGUCACUGAGAUUUGAAGAGGGAAGAGGAAAAAAAGAGGAAACUUACACAGAUAGGAGAGAAGAUCAGUCAAUAUUGAAGCUUGCGUCGGUGUCUGCGAGCAAAAUCGAGAUGUAAAGUAAGGGCACAGAGGCUGAACCCUCGGCUGCGCUCCUCGCCACUUCCUUACUCCGUCGGGCGAAGAAACAAUAACGACGUAGUUUGGGAAAGUUUUUUUAAAAAGAAAAUCGAAAAAACUAAUCCGAA
rnacentral:misc_RNA from 1 species